AUUGAACGCUGGCGGCAGGCCUAACACAUGCAAGUCGAGCGAGCGGCGGACCGGUGAGUAAUGUCUGGGAAACUGCCUGAUGAAGGGGGAUAACUACUGGAAACGGUAGCUAAUACCGCAUACCAUCGGAUUCGCCCAGAGGGGAUUAGCUAGUAGGUGGGGUAACGGCUCACCUAGGCGACGAUCACUAGCUGGUAUGAGAGGAUGACCAGCCAAACUGGAACUGAGAAACGGUCCAGACUCCUACGGGAGGCAGCAGUGGGGAAUAUUGCACAAUGGGCGCAAGCCUGAUGCAGCCAUGCCGCGUGUAUGAAGAAGGCCUUCGGGUUGUAAAGUACUUUCAGCGGGGAGGCGUUACCCGCAGAAGAAGCACCGGCUAACUCCGUGCCAGCAGCCGCGGUAAUAC
rnacentral:rRNA from 1 species